GGCUGGUUUGAGUGCAGUAAUAUUUACAACUAUUUGAUCAAAACCUUGUAAAUUUCUUUGUUCCUUCUUGACUCCCACUGCUUCACUUGGUUAACCUUAA
rnacentral:Y_RNA from 10 species